rnacentral:rRNA from 1 species
GGGUUGUGAGGUUAAGCGACUAAGCGUACACGGUGGAUGCCCUGGCAGUCAGAGGCGAUGAAGGACGUGCUAAUCUGCGAUAAGCGUCGGUAAGGUGAUAUGAACCGUUAUAACCGGCGAUUUCCGAAUGGGGAAACCCAGUGUGAUUCGUCACACUAUCAUUAACUGAAUCCAUAGGUUAAUGAGGCGAACCGGGGGAACUGAAACAUCUAAGUACCCCGAGGAAAAGAAAUCAACCGAGAUUCCCCCAGUAGCGGCGAGCGAACGGGGAGGAGCCCAGAGCCUGAAUCAGUGUGUGUGUUAGUGGAAGCGUCUGGAAAGGCGCGCGAUACAGGGUGACAGCCCCGUACACAAAAAUGCACAUACUGUGAGCUCGAUGAGUAGGCGGGACACGUGGUAUCCUGUCUGAAUAUGGGGGGACCAUCCUCCAAGGCUAAAUACUCCUGACUGACCGAUAGUGAACCAGUACCGUGAGGGAAAGGCGAAAAGAACCCCGGCGAGGGGAGUGAAAAAGAACCUGAAACCGUGUACGUACAAGCAGUGGGAGCACGCUUCGGCGUGUGACUGCGUACCUUUUGUAUAAUGGGUCAGCGACUUAUAUUCUGUAGCAAGGUUAACCGAAUAGGGGAGCCGAAGGGAAACCGAGUCUUAACUGGGCGUUAAGUUGCAGGGUAUAGACCCGAAACCCGGUGAUCUAGCCAUGGGCAGGUUGAAGGUUGGGUAACACUAACUGGAGGACCGAACCGACUAAUGUUGAAAAAUUAGCGGAUGACUUGUGGCUGGGGGUGAAAGGCCAAUCAAACCGGGAGAUAGCUGGUUCUCCCCGAAAGCUAUUUAGGUAGCGCCUCGUGAAUUCAUCUCCGGGGGUAGAGCACUGUUUCGGCAAGGGGGUCAUCCCGACUUACCAACCCGAUGCAAACUGCGAAUACCGGAGAAUGUUAUCACGGGAGACACACGGCGGGUGCUAACGUCCGUCGUGAAGAGGGAAACAACCCAGACCGCCAGCUAAGGUCCCAAAGUCAUGGUUAAGUGGGAAACGAUGUGGGAAGGCCCAGACAGCCAGGAUGUUGGCUUAGAAGCAGCCAUCAUUUAAAGAAAGCGUAAUAGCUCACUGGUCGAGUCGGCCUGCGCGGAAGAUGUAACGGGGCUAAACCAUGCACCGAAGCUGCGGCAGCGACACUAUGUGUUGUUGGGUAGGGGAGCGUUCUGUAAGCCUGCGAAGGUGGCCUGUGAGGGUUGCUGGAGGUAUCAGAAGUGCGAAUGCUGACAUAAGUAACGAUAAAGCGGGUGAAAAGCCCGCUCGCCGGAAGACCAAGGGUUCCUGUCCAACGUUAAUCGGGGCAGGGUGAGUCGACCCCUAAGGCGAGGCCGAAAGGCGUAGUCGAUGGGAAACAGGUUAAUAUUCCUGUACUUGGUGUUACUGCGAAGGGGGGACGGAGAAGGCUAUGUUGGCCGGGCGACGGUUGUCCCGGUUUAAGCGUGUAGGCUGGUUUUCCAGGCAAAUCCGGAAAAUCAAGGCUGAGGCGUGAUGACGAGGCACUACGGUGCUGAAGCAACAAAUGCCCUGCUUCCAGGAAAAGCCUCUAAGCAUCAGGUAACAUCAAAUCGUACCCCAAACCGACACAGGUGGUCAGGUAGAGAAUACCAAGGCGCUUGAGAGAACUCGGGUGAAGGAACUAGGCAAAAUGGUGCCGUAACUUCGGGAGAAGGCACGCUGAUACGUAGGUGAAGUCCCUCGCGGAUGGAGCUGAAAUCAGUCGAAGAUACCAGCUGGCUGCAACUGUUUAUUAAAAACACAGCACUGUGCAAACACGAAAGUGGACGUAUACGGUGUGACGCCUGCCCGGUGCCGGAAGGUUAAUUGAUGGGGUUAGCGGUAACGCGAAGCUCUUGAUCGAAGCCCCGGUAAACGGCGGCCGUAACUAUAACGGUCCUAAGGUAGCGAAAUUCCUUGUCGGGUAAGUUCCGACCUGCACGAAUGGCGUAAUGAUGGCCAGGCUGUCUCCACCCGAGACUCAGUGAAAUUGAACUCGCUGUGAAGAUGCAGUGUACCCGCGGCAAGACGGAAAGACCCCGUGAACCUUUACUAUAGCUUGACACUGAACAUUGAGCCUUGAUGUGUAGGAUAGGUGGGAGGCUUUGAAGUGUGGACGCCAGUCUGCAUGGAGCCGACCUUGAAAUACCACCCUUUAAUGUUUGAUGUUCUAACGUUGACCCGUUAUCCGGGUUGCGGACAGUGUCUGGUGGGUAGUUUGACUGGGGCGGUCUCCUCCUAAAGAGUAACGGAGGAGCACGAAGGUUGGCUAAUCCUGGUCGGACAUCAGGAGGUUAGUGCAAUGGCAUAAGCCAGCUUGACUGCGAGCGUGACGGCGCGAGCAGGUGCGAAAGCAGGUCAUAGUGAUCCGGUGGUUCUGAAUGGAAGGGCCAUCGCUCAACGGAUAAAAGGUACUCCGGGGAUAACAGGCUGAUACCGCCCAAGAGUUCAUAUCGACGGCGGUGUUUGGCACCUCGAUGUCGGCUCAUCACAUCCUGGGGCUGAAGUAGGUCCCAAGGGUAUGGCUGUUCGCCAUUUAAAGUGGUACGCGAGCUGGGUUUAGAACGUCGUGAGACAGUUCGGUCCCUAUCUGCCGUGGGCGCUGGAGAACUGAGGGGGGCUGCUCCUAGUACGAGAGGACCGGAGUGGACGCAUCACUGGUGUUCGGGUUGUCAUGCCAAUGGCACUGCCCGGUAGCUAAAUGCGGAAGAGAUAAGUGCUGAAAGCAUCUAAGCACGAAACUUGCCCCGAGAUGAGUUCUCCCUGACUCCCUGAGAGUCCUGAAGGAACGUUGAAGACGACGACGUUGAUAGGCCGGGUGUGUAAGCGCAGCGAUGCGUUGAGCUAACCGGUACUAAUGAACCGUGAGGCUUAACCUUACAACGCCGAAG